rnacentral:rRNA from 1 species
AGAGUUUGAUCCUGGCUCAGGACGAACGUUGGCGGCGCGCUUAAUGCAUGCAAGUCGAACGAGAAAUCAUCCUUCGGGAUGGUGGAAAGUGGCGAACGGCUGAGUAACGCGUGAGGGACCUGCCCUGGAGUGGGGAAUAAUUCCGAGAAAUCGGGACUAAUACCGCAUACGCUCUUCCAUGUAAAGGUGGAAGAGGAAAGAUUUAUCGCUCUUGGAGGGCCUCGUGUUCUAUCAGGUAGUUGGUGGGGUAAUGGCCUACCAAGCCUUAGACGGAUAGCUGGUGUGAGAGCACGACCAGCCAGAGGGGGACUGAGACACGGCCCCCACUCCUACGGGAGGCAGCAGCACGGAAUCUUGCACGAUGGGCGAAAGCCUGAUGCAGCGACGCCGCGUGAGGGAUGAAGGCUCUAGGGUCGUAAACCUCUUUUCUCAGGGAAGAGCAGGGACGGUACCUGAGGAAUAAGCCACGGCUAACUACGUGCCAUCCGCCGCGGUAAUACGUAGGUGGCAAACGUUGUCCGGAAUUACUGGGCGUGAUGGGCCCGUAAGCGGUCCAACAAGUCGUUUGUGAAAUCUCCCGGCUCAACCGGGAGUGGUCUAGCGAAACUGUUUGGACUUGAGGAUGUCAUAGGAAGACGGGAUUCCCCGG